rnacentral:rRNA from 1 species
CAAUAUGCUUUUUCUAAAAAAAUAAGCCCAGCCAUGCUAAAGUAAAAGCAAUUUGUUACGGUGAACUUGCAAAAGGCCUCCAUUUAAAUCCAGUUAAUCGUUUAUUUGAUAUAGUCCCCUUUACUACAAUGAGAUAACUGGGUGGUAUUUCUUGAGAGUAAAAUACAAUGCUAGGGAACUUUCGACUUUCGGGAAGGGUUUGUAUUUUAUAAGAUAAAAAACCAACGCCCUUCGGGGCUCCUUGGUGAAUCAUAAUAACUAAGCGAAUCGCAUGGCCUUGCGCCGGCGAUGGUUCAUUCAAAUUUCUGCCCUAUCAACUUUCGAUGGUAAGAUAGUGGCUUACCAUGGUGGCAACGGGUAACGGGGAAUUAGGGUUCGAUUCCGGAGAGGGAGCCUGAGAAACGGCUACCACAUCCAAGGAAGGCAGCAGGCGCGCAAAUUACCCAAUCCCGACACGGGGAGGUAGUGACAAUAAAUACUGAUACGGGGCUCUUUUGGGUCUCGUAAUUGGAACGAGUACAAUCUAAAUCCCUUAACGAGGAACAAUUGGAGGGCAAGUCUGGUGCCAGCAGCCAAUC